rnacentral:rRNA from 1 species
GAUGAACGCUGGCGGCGUGCCUAAUACAUGCAAGUCGAGCGAAUGGAUUAAGAGCUUGCUCUUAUGAAGUUAGCGGCGGACGGGUGAGCAACACGUGGGUAACCUGCCCAUAAGACUGGGAUAACUCCGGGAAACCGGGGCUAAUACCGGAUAACAUUUUGAACCGCAUGGUUCGAAAUUGAAAGGCGGCUUCGGCUGCCACUUAUGGAUGGACCCGCGUCGCAUUAGCUAGUUGGUGAGGUAACGGCUCACCAAGGCAACGAUGCGUAGCCGACCUGAGAGGGUGAUCGGCCAACCUGGGACUGAGACACGGCCCAGACUCCUACGGGAGGCAGCAGUAGGGAAUCUUCCGCAAUGGACGAAAGUCUGACGGAGCAACGCCGCGUGAGUGAUGAAGGCUUUCGGGUCGUAAAACUCUGUUGUUAGGGAAGAACAAGUGCUAGUUGAAUAAGCUGGCACCUUGACGGUACCUAACCAGAAAGCCGCGGCUAACUACGUGCCAGCAGCCGCAGUAA